UACGGAGGGGGCAAGCGUUAUUCGGAAUCAUUGGGCGUAAAGGGCGCGUAGGCGGCUUGGCAAGUCAAAGGUGAAAUCCCUCGGCCUAACCGAGGAACUGCCUUUGAAACUGCUUGGCUUGAGGCCGGGAGAGGGUAGCGGAAUUCCCAGUGUAGCGGUGAAAUGCGUAGAUAUCCGGAGGAACACCGGUGGCGAAGGCGGCUUCCUGGACCGACACUGACGCUGAGGCGCGAAAGCUAGGGGAGCAAACGGG
rnacentral:rRNA from 1 species